rnacentral:lncRNA from 1 species
UAUAUUAAGUACGAAACUGUAAAGUCUCAGUGUAAAAUAGUGUAAGGAGAUUUUGAGCCAUCUUACUGAUCAGUAGGUUACACAGUACCCCCAAAUGACCAGUUUAAAACUAUCCAGCAAGAGAGAAAAGGGAUAUAGGUCAAUAUAAGAAACGUACAAGGCAACUUCAGUUCAAAUUCAAUGUUUAGAUUAUCCUAAUGAAUUUGUCAAAUAUCAGAGGGAAUAUCUUUUUUAAUGUGGUAGAAAUACCAAUGAGACAACUCUCCAUCAAGUGUUAGACACAGUGUAGUCAAAGUUAGCAAUUAUAGGGUCAUCGUGCGGUUAUUUCCGGCUAAAACAGAGAAUAGUAAAAAUCCAUGUAGAAGUUCCUUCAGAAAAUGCUCUGUUUUAGAGUAACCUCCCUUUAAAAUACCACUUUAAACACAUUUUAAAGCAAUUUAUAGAUGUAUAGAAUAGUGUUCACUUGUAAAAAUACUAAUAUUUAUAAGUUAAUAUGUUCUUAUAUAAAUUGGUUCUUUUAAUUGAAAAUUGACAUUACAUAUCUGCCUUCCUGCAUCAAAUUUUGCUAAUUUGAUCGAAAAUCUAGAUCUUUAG